UACGUAGGGGGGCAAGCGUUGUCCGGAUUUAUUGGGCGUAAAGAGCGUGUAGGCGGCUCGAUAAGUCUGCUGUGAAAGUCCAGGGCUCAACCCUGGAAGGCCGGUGGAAACUGUCGGGCUAGAGUCCGGAAGAGGCGAGUGGAAUUCCCGGUGUAGCGGUGAAAUGCGCAGAUAUCGGGAGGAACACCAAUGGCGAAGGCAGCUCGCUGGGACGGUACUGACGCUGAGACGCGAAAGCGUGGGGGGAGCAAACAGG
rnacentral:rRNA from 1 species